GUCCUCGUAGUAUACAAAAUACCUUGGUCUUGUAAACCAAAAAAGGAGAAUACCCGCCCUCCCUAGGACU
rnacentral:tRNA from 1 species